GACGAACGCUGGCGGCGUGCUUAACACAUGCAAGUCGAACGCUGAAGCCCUUUCGGGGGUGGAUGAGUGGCGAACGGGUGAGUAACACGUGGGUAAUCUGCCCUGCACUCUGGGAUAAGCCUUGGAAACGGGGUCUAAUACCGGAUAGGACACAUCGCCGCAUGGUGUGUGUGUGGAAAGUUCCGGCGGUGCAGGUUGAGCCCGCGGCCUAUCAGCUUGUUGGUGGGGUGAUGGCCUACCAAGGCGACGACGGGUAGCCGGCCUGAGAGGGUGAGCGGCCACACUGGGACUGGUACACGGCCCAGACGCCGACGGGAUGCAGCAGUGGGGAAUCUUGCGCAAUGGGCGAAAGCCUGACGCAGCAACGCCGCGUGGGGGAUGACGGCCUUCGGGUUGUAAACCUCUUUCGACCGGGACGAAGGGUGACUGACGGUACCGGUAGAAGAAGCACCGGCUAACUACGUGCCAGCAGCCGCCGUAA
rnacentral:rRNA from 1 species